UAGCUUUGCCGCGCUUCGGAUGCCCUGGCGCUUAAAAGGGAAUCCCGUGCGAAUCGGGAGCGGACCCGCCGCCGUAAGUUUCAUGCAGGCCAUCCCCCUUGCUGUCCACUGGGCCAGAGCCCGGGAAGGACGGGGAUGGUGAAACGAGCCGGAAGACCUGUCCGAAGACCUGUCAUUGU
rnacentral:ncRNA from 2 species